UGGCGGACGGGUGAGUAAUGUCUGGGAAACUGCCCGAUGGAGGGGGAUAACUACUGGAAACGGUAGCUAAUACCGCAUAACGUCGCAAGACCAAAGAGGGGGACCUUCGGGCCUCUUGCCAUCGGAUGUGCCCAGAUGGGAUUAGCUAGUAGGUGGGGUAAAGGGCUCACCUAGGCGACGAUCCCUAGCUGGUCUGAGAGGAUGACCAGCCACACUGGAACUGAGACACGGUCCAGACUCCUACGGGAGGCAGCAUG
rnacentral:rRNA from 1 species